rnacentral:rRNA from 1 species
CCUACGGGAGGCAGCAGUGGGGAAUAUUGCACAAUGGGGGAAACCCUGAUGCAGCAACGCCGCGUGAAGGAAGACGGUUUUCGGAUUGUAAACUUCUGUUCUUAGUGAAGAAUAAUGACGGUAGCUAAGGAGCAAGCCACGGCUAACUACGUGCCAGCAGCCGAGGUAAUACGUAGGUGGCAAGCGUUGUCCGGAAUUACUAGGUGUAAAGGGAACGCAGGCGGGAAGCAAAGUCAGCUGUGAAAACUACGGGCUUAACUUGUAGACUGCAGUUGAAACUGGUUUUCUUGAGUGAAGUAGAGGUUGGCGGAAUUCGCGGUGUAGCGGUGAAAUGCGUAGAUAUUCGGAGGAACACCGGUUGCGAAGGCGGCAAGCUGGGCCUUAACUGACGCUGAGGCUCGAAAGUGUGGGGAGCGAACAGGAUUAGAUACCCUUGUAGUC